rnacentral:rRNA from 1 species
GACGUAGGGGGCCAGCGUUGUUCGGAAUUACUGGGUGUAAAGGGUUCGUAGGCGGUGUGGCAAGUCGGGAGUGAAAUCUCUGGGCUCAACCCAGAGUCUGCUUCCGAAACUGCUGUGCUUGAGUGUGGGAGAGGCGCGUGGAAUUGCAGGUGUAGCGGUGAAAUGCGUAGAUAUCUGCAGGAACACCCGUGGCGAAAGCGGCGCGCUGGACGAUGACUGACGCUGAGACGCGAAAGCGUGGGGAGCAAACAGG